rnacentral:rRNA from 1 species
AACGAACGCUGGCGGCAUGCCUAACACAUGCAAGUCGAACGAGACCUUCGGGUCUAGUGGCGCACGGGUGCGUAACGCGUGGGAACCUGCCCUUAGGUUCGGAAUAACUCCCCGAAAGGGGUGCUAAUACCGGAUAAUGUCUUCGGACCAAAGAUUUAUCGCCUUUGGAUGGGCCCGCGUUGGAUUAGCUAGUUGGUAGGGUAAAAGCCUACCAAGGCGACGAUCCAUAGCUGGUCUGAGAGGAUGAUCAGCCACACUGGGACUGAGACACGGCCCAGACUCCUACGGGAGGCAGCAGUGGGGAAUAUUGGACAAUGGGCGAAAGCCUGAUGCAGCAAUGCCGCGUGAGUGAUGAAGGCCUUAGGGUUGUAAAGCUCUUUUAACCGGGAUGAUAAUGACAGUACCGGGAGAAUAAGCUCCGGCUAACUCCGUG